rnacentral:rRNA from 1 species
GGUGGCGACCGGCGCACGGGUGAGUAACGCGUAUGCAACCUACCUAUCAGAGGGGAAUAWCCCGGCGAAAGUCGGACUAAUACCGCAUAAAACAGGGGCACCGCAUGGUGAUAUUUGUUAAAGAAAUUCGCUGAUAGAUGGGCAUGCGUUCCAUUAGGUAGUUGGUGAGGUAACGGCUCACCAAGCCGACGAUGGAUAGGGGAACUGAGAGGUUGGUCCCCCACACUGGUACUGAGACACGGACCAGACUCCUACGGGAGGCAGCAGUGAGGAAUAUUGGUCAAUGGGCGGGAGCCUGAACCAGCCAAGUCGCGUGAAGGAAGAAGGAUCUAUGGUUCGUAAACUUCUUUUGCAGGGGRAUAAAGUGCAGGACGUGUCCUGUUUUGUAUGUACCCUGAGAAUAAGGAUCGGCUAACUCCGUGCCAGCAGCCGCGGUAAUACGGAGGAUCCGAGCGUUAUCCGGAUUUAUUGGGUUUAAAGGGUGCGUAGGUGGUUUGAUAAGUCAGCGGUGAAAGUUUGCAGCYUAACUGUAAAAAUGCCGUUGAAACUGUCGGACUUGAGUGUAAAUGAGGUAGGCGGAAUGCGUGGUGUAGCGGUGAAAUGCWUAGAUAUCACGAAGAACUCCGAUU